rnacentral:rRNA from 1 species
AUGUCAGCCGCCGCGGUAAUACGAAUGGGGCAAGCGUUGUUCGGAUUUACUGGGCGUAAAGCGGGCGUAGGCGGCCGGCUAAGUCGGAUGUGAAAUCCCGGGGCUCAACUCCGGAACUGCAUUCGAUACCGGUCGGCUAGAGUUCGCGAGGGGGAUGCGGAAUUCCGCGUGUAGCAGUGAAAUGCGUAGAUAUGCGGAGGAACACCUGAGGCGAAGGAGGCAUCCUGGAUCGACACUGACGCUGAGGCCCGAAAGCGUUGUGAGCAAACAGGAUUAGAUACCCUGGUAGUCCACGCCCUAAACGAUGUCUACUAGCCGUUGCGGGUAUCGACCCCUGCAGUGGCGCAGCUAACGCGAUAAGUAGACCGCCUGGGGAGUACGGCCGCAAGGUUAAAACUUAAAGGAAUUGGCGGGG